CUAUGGGCAUCGAGGCCACCAUUUGCCAUGUACCUAAUGUGUGCCUGGCAAUGUUCCAGGCCUCUCCUGCAUAAUUUCUAAUCCUCUUAACCAGAGGCUCAGAGAGGUGGCGUUUUUACCCCUAGUACACAGAGGAGGCGCUUGGGGUUCAGAGGCACGGGUGGGAGUCCACCGACGUCACGCACCCCAGCAGGUGGCCAAGCGGGAUGGGAGCGCGGGUCUCCCCAUCCCCAGUGGUGACGGGCUGCGGCUCUUUCCUGAGGAACAGGGCGGCGUUCGCAACGGGAACCGCUGGAGGCGCCCCCCCGGGACCCUGGCCCGCCCUCGCCCCCGCGCAUGCCUGGCCGCUGAGGCGUGAGAGCCGCCGCCCGUGGCCUCCCCCCGUGCGCCUUGCACAACCGGCCCAGAUAAGUGCUGCGUCUUUGGGCAAUUAUCGCCCUCCCGCCGCCGGGGCUGGCCGCGCACAGGGCCCACGGCCAAGGGACUCGCAGCCACCCAAGGAGAGCGGCCUGUAGCCUUCAGACUGGAACUAUGCCAUAGGCUCUCCUGGAUCUCCAGCUGGUGGAUUUAUCCUGCAGAUCCUGGUUCUUGCCAGCCUCCAAAUUGUGCAGAAAACCUGCACUCAAAGACCCAGCCAAGAAGAAAGAUUUGAUCGACUGGGCAGGAUCCACUUCCCAUGGCGACACCUCCUUGAGUCGCAGCUCUGAAAUUUGGGCCAGGAUCAGCUGAGAGAUUCUUCUGCUCCGUGUGUUAUUGACUGAAAUCACAUAGAAGGAUUCAGCCUGUGGAUGGACUGAUCUGGAGGAUCCGAGACAACUUCCCUUGUAUGUGUGAUGUCUUAGUGGGAAUGGCUGGAAGGCAGAGCUAUGCAGGGACUGUCAACCGGCGUUCCUACACUUGGCUUCCCCAGCAUGGCAGACUUCUUAUGUAGUAGUUCACGGCUCAUAGGGUCAAGAGACUCAGGUCAAAGCAGCAAGGCUUUUUCUGACCUAGCCUCAGAAGUCAUACAGUAUCACUUCUGCCAUAUUCUUUUUAUUACAAGUGAGAGUUCCAGGACUGGUCCAGGUCCAAGGGAAGGGUAGUUAGUACACAAGCACGUGAACACUGGGAGGCAUAGUUUAUUGAGACCCUCUUACAGCUACCUGGAGCAUAGAGUCAGAAGCCUUCCUAGCUUCUCUAAUUGUACUCGACCCCUUCUCCCCCCUAUGCAUCUGACCAUCCUCUUAAUUUUGGCUGGGAUUGUUGCAGAAGACACAUCCAUACUCCAGGUGUCCACAGUCUCCUUCGUGGUCAGCAGAAUGUGUACAGCCUCAUUGUGAGCAAGGCCAACAGUAAGUUACCAAAGCUCCUGCAAUGCUGGAGUGCCCAUUACCCACUCCUGCCAACCCACUGCCACAUAGUAUCUCAUGGGCUCUUGGUUAAGCUGAACAUCUUCACUGGGACCACCUUGGAGAACUUGGCCUUGACCUGCUUAAACACUUGAGCAAGGACCUAUUCUGAGAGCUUGGCUCUUUCCUGAGACCAACAGGACUCACAGGGGUUUUGCACAUGGGACUAAGAGUGCCACAGCCAUGCUCCCAUAAUGAUUGGUUUUAAUGGCUGUAAAAUACUUCAUACUGUGGACCCAACACACUCUGGCAAACCAUUUCUAUACUAUUGUAGUUGUUUGUUCUUUUUGAUCCUUUGCAAGUAAUGCAAAUAUAUAUAUUUUAUAUGCAGAGCCUUUUUAUUCUGCUGAAUUAUUCUCUUAAUUAUCGAUUUUUAAGAGGAGAAUUGGUUUUUGGAUCUUGAUGUAUAUUACCAAAUAUACUUCCCAAAGAAGUGAACAGUCUAUAUUCCAACAGCAGUGUAUAUACUGGUGUUUCUAAUACCUUCAACUGUGUUGGUGAAUUACCAUUUUAAAAUGUUUUUGCUAAUUUUAUGGAUGCCAAACUGAACUUACGGUUGCUCUGGAUUUCUUUUGUUUUCCCUAUUCUGUUCUAAGACGUCAGUUCUUUUCUUUUACAGCAAUCAUGCAAAAGAAUGCAUUUUAGCUCAAUUUGGUGUUGAUUUGUUUGAUUUGGAGCCAUUUGAUAUUGGUCGCUUAAGUGAAACAGGUAGUUUCCAGUAGUGCCGCCAAUACAAUUUGCAUCAAAGAUUCUCUUCGCCUUUUUAACAUAAAAACAUUUAACUUCUAAAUCUUCUCAGGGAUGAGCAACAGCAACACUUUUCUUCUUGGAUUCUGCACCUACAGGAAAUUCACAAGUGGAGGUGAUACCUGAUUAUAUCAGGGAUAAGCAUGUGACCAAGCUUCACCAAUCAGAAUCCUUUCCCAAUCCAGGAUUUGCAAUAAUGGAUCUAGGAAAGGGACCUUUUCCUGUCUGGUUGUGACACUGGGAGGAUACAAGCCCAGAGCUUGGGUGGCUAGUCCUGUGUCCCAUGAAAAGAAUGAGAACAGAAGGAAGACAGAGAGAGGGGAGAGGUAGCCCCAGAUGGGGGUUGAACUGCUUAUUCUAGUCACCAAGGCAUAUUAAUC